CAAUGGCAUAUUUGAGAUAAGACAAGAUAAGUGGGUUGGGAGAGGGACCGAUCAUCGCCUGUUCCAUUAACGCCUCUGAAAGACAGACAAAGAAACCAUAUGAAAUACAGCUCUGCAUCACAUUCAAAAAGGGACAUUGUUCUCUACUCAACACAAACACCACUGGAGGCGGUGAAGGCCCCAUGAAGACAACAAAGGCGUCCAUUCUGCCUGACACUGGAGACUUCCUGCUGCUAACUUCAGAGAAGCCAAGUGGGCCUUUCCUUUCGACCGGGCCUGGGCAAUUAUUUGGACUCGGGGGGCCACAAUGAGAGAAAAAAAAUGCGUCUGGGUGUCUGGAGGCCGUCACUCACUACCUCUGCAGCUGCAAAUUCACCCCCUGCCGGCCCUUGCAUUUUCUUCUGACUGUGAUUGACACGCACAACCUCAUGACACAUCGUCUCAGCAGCAAGUUGGCGUGAUGGUAGGGGCACCCAGCGUCCACUCCGUUGACUUGACAUGGAAAUGAGAGGUCGUAUAGAUUAGAAGCAAAGUGGCAAGGUUUUUCUGGAUCGCACAUUGCUCAUAGCAAAUUCCACCUUUGUCUCACAAUGCCACCACAUAUACAUUUUAUGUAAUACAAACAAUUAUGUAUUCCAUUACCACCAAAAUUAGCAAUAAUUGAAUUGUACACUACUUUAAUUAUUAAACCAAAAUAAUGCAUGUCAAAUAACACAUAAAAAUGCUUGCUAACACAGUCAAAAGUGACAAUUGUAAGGAAAACAAGGCAUGCUGGGAAACGCUUGCUUCACAGACACAUGCUUAAAUGUGCCACAUCUUCCAGAUUCUGCGGAAAACUCCAGGAAAUUACCCUUGUCCCGGAUACUAAAGUUAUUUUGUGUUUAUAUGAACUAUUGUAGCUUUUUCCCGAAUGUUGAAAGAAUAACGAGGAGAUGAAAGUCAAUCAACAAUCACUUUAUUAAAACA